UCCCUGCUUCACCUCCCUGAGCAGGCCUCUUCCAGAGGAAUUUCUCGGCCCGGCUAUAUGCCGGGCCUUUUUUU
rnacentral:ncRNA from 1 species